rnacentral:rRNA from 1 species
GACGAACGCUGGCGGCGUGCUUAACACAUGCAAGUCGAGCGGUAAGGCUCCUUCGGGAGUACACGAGCGGCGAACGGGUGAGUAACACGUGAGCAAUCUGCCCUUCUCUUCGGAAUAAGCGUUGGAAACGACGUCUAAUGCCGAAUACGACCUCCUUUCGCAUGAUCGGAGGUGGAAAGCUCCGGCGGAGAAGGAUGAGCUCGCGGCCUAUCAGCUAGUUGGNGUGGGUAAUGGCCCACCAAGGCGACGACGGGUAGCCGGCCUGAGAGGGUGACCGGCCACACUGGGACUGAGACACGGGCCCAGACUCCUACGGGAGGCAGCAGUGGGGAAUAUUGGACAAUGGGCGAAAGCCUGAUCCAGCAACGCCGCGUGAGGGAUGACGGCCUCGGUGUAAG